rnacentral:tRNA from 1 species
GGAAUAGCCCAAUGGUAGAGCAUGUGCCUAGAAUACACGAGGCCCUGGGUUCAAUGCCCAGUACCUCCA